UGGGGAAUAUUGCACAAUGGGCGAAAGCCUGAUGCAGCGACGCCGCGUGAGGGACGACGGCCUUCGGGUUGUAAACCUCUUUCAGCAGGGACGAAGCGAAAGUGACUGUACCUGCAGAAGAAGCACCGGCUAACUACGUGCCAGCAGCCGCGGUAAUACGUAGGGUGCAAGCGUUGUCCGGAUUUAUUGGGCGUAAAGAGCUCGUAGGCGGUUUGUCGCGUCGGAUGUGAAAACCUAUGGCUUAACCAUG
rnacentral:rRNA from 1 species